rnacentral:lncRNA from 10 species
AGAAGCCAUUUUCUUCGCUAUCAAUUGUCGUGUUGAGGAACAGCCACAUAUCUCAAGGAGCAGAAUCUGGGGGCCAGAACGACGCGUGCACAGACCUUUGGCUGAGUGAAGAAGCGUGACUUGAAGCCUCAGGAAGUCAUGAGCGAAGAGACCGUGAGCCUCUCCCAAACCCCGCAUGUGCUGACAUCUCCACGUGUGCUGUGUCCUGGGUAGGCUUUCUUCAUAGACCGUGCUUCCGUCUGUCUGGAGUUUCCGCUUCAUCCAUCUGUCCACAGGGAGGACGCACACCCCUGAGUCCGAGGCCACACCACGCAUUCUGUAGAAACUCUCACUGCCCAGGGAGCACACUUUAUUAGGAAAGCUCCAGGUUCACAGAGGCUCUGGGCUCUCUCUGGGCCCGACGCCCUUCACUGUUUGAACUCAGCAGCUGCCUGCAGGUGCGGAGGACAUGCACCUUCCAGCCUUUGUCCUUUCCUGGCCUUCUCGUCAAUCUUACCGUCUGUCGGCCCUAAGUGGAUGCUCGGAUAUUAAAAACCUUGUGUAGGAUCAGCAAGUGUGCCCAUACGGAAGGUCUGCACGGCUGCGAUGAGUCAUAAGAAAGAAGUGAG